rnacentral:lncRNA from 1 species
GAAGACAUAAAUCAAUAGAAAGUACUGUGGGGUUUGAGCUUUCAGAUAUUUCUGGAUUUUUCUAAGGUUUCUCAUUGCAUCCCUGUCAUUAAUAAUGUAAAACAACGUCAGUAUGGUGACUUUCCCCAGGUGAGGGCUUUGGAGACCAGCAAGAUUUACAUUCGAUGUGAAUGUUUGUGCUGCAAACUGUUGGCGACCACACACAUGUACACAUACACACUCCCAUGCACACAUGCGCACACAUA